UGCCAGCAGCCGCGGUAAUACGGAGGGUGCAAGCGUUGUUCGGAAUUACUGGGCGUAAAGCGCGCGUAGGCGGUUUGUUAAGUCAGAUGUGAAAGUCCACGGCUCAACCAUGGAAGUGCAUUUGAAACUGGCAGACUUGAGUAUUGGAGGGGGCAGUGGAAUUCCCGGUGUAGAGGUGAAAUUCGUAGAUAUCGGGAGGAAUACCAGUGGCGAAGGCGACUGUCUGGCCAAAUACUGACGCUGAGGUGCGAAAGCGUGGGGAGCAAACAGGAUUAGAUA
rnacentral:rRNA from 1 species